UGACAGUUUGGGGUUUUGGGUGUCUUUUUCACCUACCUUGUCAAUGUGAUUGUCCCCAAAGUUAUUAACAAUUAGACAAUGAUCAAAGCUAUGGGGGAAAACAAUAACAUGCACUAUAUGAUACCUGUUUGUCACGCCCACAGCUUCUGUCUGCCCAGCUGGAGACAUUAGCAUAGAGCUGUGAUUGGCACACCUGGUGUUCUGUGUGCGCGCGUGUGUGUGUGUGUGUGUGUCCAUGCAUGAGUGGUGCGUCGGUGGAGCUAUGAAUGGGCAGAGAGGGGUGUGCUCUAACAGACACCAUAGCAGCAGUGGGAUGAGGAGUGCCAUCUACUCCACUGCACGUCUGUACUGAGAGAAGGAAGGAGGGAGAAAAGGAGUUGCACAACAGUAUUCCACAGGAAAUCAUCUAAUCCUAAACCUGCGUCAGCACACUACUCCUACAAAAAAUCUUCAAGUCAGCCAUGGAGCAGAAGGCGAGUGAGUGUCCCUCUACCACCUCUCCUCAGAAGCACAUGAAGAACAGGUCAAAAUCCACAGAGGAGAUGCAACAGACGAGGAAGGCCUUUUCCUCACAAAAAUCACUCCCAGGCAGACCAGAGCUGGAGAAAGUGAAGGAGUGUCCUGAUGGCUCUGACUCGCCAUUGUCCUCCAUGGAAGAGCUGAAGUGAUAAAUGAAGGGAUCUUAGUGUUGCCACCAAGUUAUUGUCAUAAACACAACAUGCAUACAAAUGUACAUAUGUUCACAGGGAAACAUACAAAAUAUGACUGAAGAUAAUCCUGAACUACACAAGUAAUAAACUUAUGACUGGUUGAAGGAAACGGUUUAAAGAUGGCAAACUGAACACACACACAAACUAAUGCACACUGAAACAAUCGCAUGUAAACAAAAGGACCCCUGUGAUGAUGUUGUUUCAUUGUACUGUGAGUGUCGUAUACA